CCUACGGGAGGCAGCAGUGGGGAAUUUUGGACAAUGGGCGCAAGCCUGAUCCAGCCAUGCCGCGUGCGGGAAGAAGGCCUUCGGGUUGUAAACCGCUUUUGUCAGGGAAGAAAAGGUUCUGGAUAAUACCUGGGACUCAUGACGGUACCUGAAGAAUAAGCACCGGCUAACUACGUGCCAGCAGCCGCGGUAAUACGUAGGGUGCAAGCGUUAAUCGGAAUUACUGGGCGUAAAGCGUGCGCAGGCGGUUAUGCAAGACAGAGGUGAAAUCCCCGGGCUCAACCUGGGAACUGCCUUUGUGACUGCAUAGCUAGAGUACGGUAGAGGGGGAUGGAAUUCCGCGUGUAGCAGUGAAAUGCGUAGAUAUGCGGAGGAACACCGAUGGCGAAGGCAAUCCCCUGGACCUGUACUGACGCUCAUGCACGAAAGCGUGGGGAGCAAACAGGAUUAGAUACCCUGGUAGUCCACGCCCUAAACGAUGUCAACUGGUUNUUGGGAGGGUUUCUUCUCAGUAACGAAGCUAACGCGUGAAGUUGACCGCCUGGGGAUACGGCCGCAAGGUUGAAACUCAAAGGAUUGACGG
rnacentral:rRNA from 1 species